rnacentral:rRNA from 1 species
GAAUCCGCCUAAGGAGUGUGUAACAACUCACCUGCCGAAUGAACUAGCCCUGAAAAUGGAUGACGCUUAAGCGGACAGCCGACACCGCGCCGUUUGGGUAAGAGGCGACCUAAAUGAGUAGGAGGGCGUGGCGGUCUUGUGAGGAAGGUCGAGACGCGAGUCUGACUGAAACGGCCGCUAGUGCAGAUCUUGGUGGUAGUAGCAAAUAUUCAAGCGGGAUCCUUGAAGGGCGAAGCGGGGAAGGGUUCCACGCGAACAUUGAUUGGGCGUGGGUGAGUCGUUCCUAAGCCGGGUGGUAAUCGUUCUUCGAAGCGGCGAAAGGGAAGCGGGUUAAAAUUCCUGCACACGGAUGUGGAGGCGGUGACGCAAAUUGAGGUGAAGACAUCAGCGGUGGCGCUAGGCAGAGUUUUCUUUUCUGUUUGACCUGUGAGAUGCACGGUGUGGAAUCCGAUUAUCGGGAGAAACACGCGCCGAAGGGCAGAGCGUCGGGGCGUCCCCGGCGUCUAGCACGCCACCGAUGGUCCUUGAAAAUUCAUCUGCAAUAUAAUUUCACGCCGUGGCGUACCGAUAACCGCAUCAGGUCCCCAAGGUGAACAGCCUCUGCUCAAUAUGAAUAAUGCAGGUAAGGGAAGUCGGCA